UCUUAUCUUAUGUACACGUUUUUAUUAUAAGGAACACAAGAUAGAGGAAAUUUGGAAAUAUAAUGACAGUCUUGCACCAAAAAGUGAAAUCCCACUAAGUUGUCUUUAUGUGCUGCAGCAGACAGGCUGUUAAAAAACUGGCAUCCCUGUUCAACUUUGUCAUGAUUUAAUAUUUAAAAACAAAACAGUUGGAAAAGUUCCUGUCCCUCUAAGGAGACAAUUAUCUUAACGCCACGGAAGAACACAGAAACAUGACUAAAGACAUGUCUGUCAUGGGUUUUCAUGAUCAAGGCUGGAAGUCUGAAAAGAUUCACUUUUCUAAUGUACAGCAUCUUAUGAGAGCAUCUUUCCACUGAGCUUUGCUGCAGUUUGUUGUCCAUUACUAACAGGAGGAAAUAUCCACUUAAAGGGACAACAUGGAUAAAAAAUGCAGAACUCGGUGGAUCUGACCCUUUUUUAACCCUCAAACAGGAUUGUGUUGUAUGUAACAAGCGUUUAUGUUUCUCUUUACAGACACUUCUGUACACUCCACUCUGCUGUGUGUUUCUGACCUUGGGCAGAGCUUGUCUUUACAGUGCCUAGCUGCCAGCAGCUGGUCGGGGUGGAUGUCUCGGAUGUCAGCGCUGACUGAUGGGCAGCUCUUAGUGAAACCCCCGCGGGGCCUCUCAGUGCUGCUCACACCCCGAGAGAUGCACACAAGACUGAUGGAAAGUCGGAGGUAUGCCUAUCGACCUGUCUGCCAUCUACACACUCUGAACCUCCCACUGCCCCGCCCUCCACUACAGAGCCAUUGUAUGUUUGUGUCAAUGUGAGUGUGCAGAGCCUUCUCUAAGUGUACCACCUACACUACUUUCUUACUUUGUCUGGCUGUCUGUGUUAUUUUCAAUGAGUGGGUAGAGUCUUUCUGAGCAAGAGUCAUCGGAAAACUGCAGUUCCUUGUUCUGUGUCCACUUGGGGGCUAUCUCCAAAAGCUAAAAAAAUGCCAAUAACAGCUCAUACUAGAAUCAUUUUACAGUAGAGUCAGCUGGAUUUACUCAUGACUACUGAUUGCAUUUAAACCUGAAGCGGGGGUUAGUUUGACUGACCAAUGGGCGCAAUAUGUCUGGUGACUGAAAUAUGGCCUCAGCUUAGAAAUGAGGACUUGAGUUUGACUCUUGAACUUGAGUUGCACUUUACUCAUAGAUAACUUUCUCUUGUAUUUUUGUCUUAAUAUUACUAGAGCUCAAUCACAUACCCUCUUAAUUAUAAUCUUCCUUCUGGUGCACUUCCAGCCUCUUCAUCUGCUGCUACCAAAGCACAGUAUUUCUCACACAUAGUAUGCAACUAAGAAGGGUGAUUAAGUAUGUACUGACUGUUUUUACUCAUUUUUCAUCCACAUAAGAGUGAUCCAAGCGGGAAAGAGAGAGAGACACAGUUGAUCCCAAAAGAAAAGAUAUACCUUCUCAGACCGCUGUUUUAAAAGUUUUGUACUGCUGGUCGCUGUUGCUCUUAGUUUUGAAUUGCUAUCACAACAGAGCCCAUACACUGAUUAUCUACUGGAAUAAUGAAACAUUCAUGAGUUGUGUUCAAAAGUUUGUGAUCCAGCUGAUGAGUUUUUCUAAAAGAUUGGAAAUAAAAAGACAAAAAGGCACAAGAAGUCAUGGUGCUGCUAAAAAAGGAGAGCUUUGAGUGUCAGGGGCAGAUUUAGGGCUUACUCGGGAUCCGGAGUACGCCAAUUCCUACCGGAUCUGUUUGUGAGACGAAUUUCUUGGCAGCGGGCAUCGCAAGAACUUACAAGAACCUGCGGAUUCACGUGCAAUCGCGCGAUAACAAAUUGUCUUUAGCCACAGAGGCUAACCAUAGAAGCAGUAGAUUGUCCUUCCAGAAGAGGAAAUCUACUUCUAAACUUCUAAAAUUAGCAUGUCCUCAUCCAUGGUGUCAUCGGGAUGAAAUGCUGUCUAUAAACCUUUCACUUGUUGGUCCCCGCCCAUUUGCAUGGUGUGAAAUACGAUCUGCCUGAAACACAGAGUGUUUUGUUUUGAAAAGAAGACAGAUAUUUUAUUUUGUGUCUGUGCCCGACUUCCUUUCCAGCACAGGUUAAUCUGUGCUGAAUUUAUCCGACAUGCUCCAGUGUCCAGAAAAAAAUAGAACUCUUGCGAUCAGCUGGGGAGUCCGGCGAUUUGCAGUGGAACCGAAAGAAGCCAGUGGAAAUUGACACAUUAACUUGAAUUGUUACAAUCAGCUGCAAUCGGCGGAUAUGGCCUUUUCGUAGCCGUUACGGAUGCAGUGGAAAUUGCUGGUUAGUCUGGGGUGCCUCAGCCCCAGGGGUGCCCUUGGGUUCGGGUUAUUUUUGACUAUGUUGUUGUUUCUUGACAGUAUAAAAGAUUUGACUGGGACUUCCUGGUGCACUCAGAGACUGAGAAUUAACUUGGACUUGUGGCGAAAGACUUGAGACUUUACCUCUGUCCAUCAUCCAUCCAUCUGUCCAGCUGAACUCUACAUGGUUGACUCUUGAGAGUAGCUGAGGGGUGAGGCCUCUACACACUUGGCCAUCCGAAAGCAUAAGUUAUUGCCCAUAUUUUUCAUGAUUUCAACCUUGAUUUAUGUUCUUUGGUUGUUCUAAUCGUUCAAAUUUGGCUGAGUAGUUAAUGAAGUGUUUGUUUUGUAGCGUGACAACCUCAGAAGUCAUUUAUUUUCCCACUUUACACAGUCUUUAAUGAUGCAGCCAGUGUUUUUGUAGGUCAGUUUAGACCUCAGAUUUACAACCAAAGGAGUUAAAAGUUGUAACUACUUGAUACGUGCCGCUCUGACAUCUGCCAGUUUGCACCUGUCCGACCAGAUGAGAUGAUGUCUACUUUCUGUCUGUGGUGGAUGUAGCCUAAGGCAUAGAGCUGGAGGUCUGGAGUGUUUUUUUUUUUUUCUCUCUCUCUUUUUCUUUGACUAAAAGAUGGCUGAGCUGCACACCAUCACACACAUACACUGCACCACAGCCAGAGAGGCAGGAUCAAGCAGAAACAUCAAGUUUCAAACUGAAUCCUGAACCUUUCUGCUGGGUUUUUUGCAGAUAUGAUAUUGUUAAAAAAGUGCUGGAAAACAUUCACAAUAUGGAUUAAAAAAAAGUUUGAUUCCUCUGCUCUCCAUAUGCCAGGCCUAAUUUGCCUGACCAAUGGUUCAGCUCCACCAGUGUUUGGUCAACAAAUACAACACCGCGCCAUCGCUGCACUAAUUAACCAGAAAACUUUGAAUUCAGACACAUGCUACCUUUCAGAUCAGAAGAAAGUUUGGAUUUGACUCCACCUGCUGUUUUCACCUUAACAUGAUUGGCUUUAAAAAAACAAGUGCGGUCUCAUUCACAGCAGGCCAAUGGCAGCUUCUUGAGCUGGGCUGUGGCCAACUCUGAAAUCCACAGUUGGUUGAGACGUGCAGGUCAGUUUAUGCAAACAACACGCAAAUGAAGAGAUGAGCUGACAAAUGCAGCUCAUUACUGAGUAAUUUAGAUUGCUGCAAAAGCAUAUGGUUGCUCUGACAUAAUAGGAUCUAAAAGACAAUGACAGCACCGAGGUGGAUUUCUGGCCAGGUUUGGCCUCUGGCGCCCUGGGACUGAUACUGCUUAAUAGACUCUGAGACUGUUUUGUUAUGAUGUCAAGCUCAGAAUGAAAAACUAUGGUGUUCUGGGUUGUAAGUCCUGUAUUUCACGGCUUCCUGAUUAAUAAUCAGCCAGACAGACUAUAGAUAAAGAUGAUCAGGAGAUAGAUCAGGUUAUUCUUUGGGCUAAAAUACACAGUUGAUAACUCAAUGAGCUGAGGAUUAAAAUUGUGAUAAAUUUUCUUGAGGCAUUGUAUAAGAGAUAGAAUUGGGUAAUUAUCAGCGCGGCUACUCCCAAGUUAGAAAUUAAUGGUUCAGGGGUUAACUGUGAUUGAAAAAAGUCGGUUUGACAGUCCUAAGGUUGACUUGAGUUUGUUUUGAUCAGGGAGGUUGUGUAAAUAAGUGUCAUUAACAGAUUCCUGAAGUUAGUGACUCAAAUAGUCAUGUUGAUAAUAAUGAUUAUAAUAGGUAGAGCUGUGUGUCAUCUGCAUAAGAGUGGAAGUUUAGACCAUGUUGCUGGAUGAUCUGACAUAGGGGAAGCAUGUAGAUACUGAAGAGGAGGGGUCCAAGUACAGAGCCUUGAGGGACACCGUGCUGAUUGUUAAUUGCACGAUCUGAUAUUCUGUAUUGGCCUUUAUUGGAUUAUUGAAAAUCACAUUAACAAUAUUCCGAUUUGUUCAGUGUAUGUUUACAGUAUAAUCUGGUUUCUUCUGUUUUAUUCAAUCUCCACAAAACAUGACAAGCAGCAAAGGGGAGGAGGGUUUGAAAGAAGGUUCUUGCCAAGUCAAAGGAUCUGAAUCACCAAAAGGAGUCGCUGACAUUAGCAAAAGCCAAUGGCAAAGCUUAUCUUGGUAAGUAUCAUAGUCAACUAAAAUAAAACCCAAAGAUAAAAAAAAGACAGGUGAUUAACUCACAGCAUCGAGGCCAUUAAUGCAGCCAAAGUACGACAAUCUGGUAUCAUCAGUAAAUGCACUUAUCUAAUAUCAUAGUUUAUAUGCCUCUUUAAACUAAACUUGCUUCGAGUAAACUCCGUGAUAAAAUCCUUAAAGUUAUAGUUCCUGUGAAACUUCUGAGAGAACUUAAUGUUCUUGUUCUUAUAAGAAGAGACUUCCUCUGACAUUCUCCGCUCGUCUCCGGAGACUAUCAGUGUCCAGCGUCUGUCGGCAGAAAGAUAACACUCUGCGGCUGUUCUGGUUUGGUAAAGGCUGCUGAUGCAUCACUUCAUGUUCCCUGCUUGUCUGUGAAUUAUACAUUAAUGGAUGAGGUGGCUAUUAUCUUCAUGCAUGUCUGAUCUCUGAUACUCAGAAAAAAAUCACACAACAAAAUGCUCCGCCUGUUUGUCUAUCACACACCCACCUCUAACCUUUUCACCUCCCCAAAAAUCUCUCCUUGUUCCUAAUCCAGGAGCCCGGUGUUACUCCUGUUCAUAUGCAGCUAAAUUUAAAUCUAAACUCUUUCUGUUUCUGCCUGUGCCUCUGCCGCUUCCUCAUCCUCUUAUCCCACAUCACCUCCCCUCUUAGCUCAAGAAUCAUCUCCGGCAACUUGUAACUCUUCCAGAAACCCCGCUGAGCCACUCCCCGGGCUACAUGCAUAAAAGUCUGUGUAGAUUCAAGACGAAAGACUGUGUGGGAACAAGAGGCAGAAACAUAAAUACUGACUCUGUUUUGUGAAGUUAAUAAAGUACACAUGCUUCUGUUUUAUCAGUCUCAGUUAUAUUAAAACUGGCUGCAGUUGAAAGGCUCAUCCAGUCAGCUAUAAAUAAAGGGAAAAAAAGUGACAAGGGCCAAAUUUCAGAAUAUAUUUUUCAAUUUUUCAUACCGAGUUUUAUUUUAUAUCCAACCAUAACCAAGAAAUACUUUAUAUCAUAUCUUAAGAACAAAAUGUGUGACAGAGGGUGAUGUCUACUCCAAUGGUAUGAUGUUUAGAAGUUACCAUGAAACAGAUUGUUCCAAUCCAUCCCACUCAGAAGAAAUGUUCAUUCUCUCCCACAGGGUUGGUUAAUGUUUUGUUGUUGGCUGAUCCAACAGUUUCUUCUUGGUUGGUGUAAAGCUUUUUUAUCUUUGCAUGUCCAUUUCAUGUGACGUGAUGGGGUUUCCACCUCUGGUGUUGCUGGAGCGAAGCCAAACCAGCCUGUAGGUGACAUAAAUUUUUCACUGGAAACCGUAAAGAAACUCAAAUGUCUUGAUCAUAAAGACACAAGCAAAACAACACAUCUCUGGGGCAAGCAGAUGAGAACUACAUUUGUAGCACAUUAUUUAUGAUGACACAGUGACAUUAGUUUUUAACAUAUUUAAGCACCUUUACUUCAGUCUCCAUCCUCUUUCUGUCUGAGUCAUUGACUUUGAAUCAUCAUGCCCUUUACAAUCACUAAUAUAGUCUUUUCUUGGAGUCCCUUAGCGCCAUCUUGACGUAGGUUCUUCUACACUGCUGCUGUGUACAUUUUGCUACCGUGGACCUGCCUGCUCUCCAGCUACAUCUACCUCUACUCUGUCCAUCUUUCUCUCUCUCUCUCUCUCUCUCUCUCUCUCUCUCUCUCUCUCUCCCCUCUUUAUACUCAGCUCAGUCUCAGCAGAUGACUGUCUAACAUGGGUCUGGUUCUGUCUGUUAAAGGAAGUUCUUCCUUUCUACUGUAAAGUGUUUCACUCAUGUGGUUGAAAAUAGGAUGGGAGUAGGUCUAAUCCAAUCUUUACCUUGGUUUUUUGUACAUAGAUUAUUGGCUCUUGGGAUAACACUUGUGAAUUGGCGCUUUAAAAAUAAAGAUUGAUUUGACUGGCGGAACAACUUUACAUAUGCCAUAAUGGUUCAUCUGAUCAAUCAAUCGAUCAAUCAAUCAAAUUUUAUCUAUAUAGCACCAAUUCACAACUGUCGUGAGCAGGUCUAGACCACGCUUAUUGUUUGAUGAAUUAUCAAGACCCAACCUAAGAUGGGAUUUGGCCCAUCUCAUCUAACAUGAGUAACAGUGGCAAGAAAAAACUUCCUUUUAACAGGCAGAAACCUUGAGCAGGACCAGACUCAUGCCAGACAGCCACCAGGGAGGGUCAUAUUUAUGAAAUCUUUAUCAAUCCUUUGAACAAGAUUUCGUCUUCUCUAGAUUUUACAUGUAUGAUAUCAGUCCCUAGUUUGACACACUUGCACAAAGAUUCCUGUGAUAGCUCUUAUAGCUUGUUGAAGGGUGGAGUCAUUAAACCAUGAAACAGGAAGUUGAUUUAAUUCCUUCGUAUAUUAUUCCAUCGACUUCAAAUUUGAUAUAAUCAGGUUCAACCCUGUACACAGGUUAAUGCUAACUUCUUGACUCGUAAUAGCUCAGCCAGUCUCCUCCUCAGCGUAUCUACAUAUAUAUUUUAGUCGUGGUCAUGAUGCCAGUUAUAGGUCCAUCUUAUAUGGAUCCAUAUUUCCUUCACAUUAGCUUGCUUUCACACAUCCUGACAGUCUUUUGAAGAUGUCUCUAUCUACAUUCGAUCUGUGGGUUCAGUGUAAUCAAACAGACAUGAAUAUACACACAGAAACAAGGUAGAGAGACCCCAAAGUGUUGUUUGUUUCAGGCUGUAAACAUUCGUAUUUCUCCUGUAAAAAUGGACAUUUUCACUUCAGCUCCACAGGGAUCCCAGUGGAUUCAAGUGAACACUCAGCGUGGACUCAAGUCAGCCCCCGGGUCUGGCCAGUUUCCUGCAGCAACCUCAACUGUCUUUUUUGGAUGCAAUAUAUUUUUUAACUCCCUCUGGACAUCUUAGGAUUGCUUCCUAUCUCCAACGCCUGGCCUGGCCACCUGCAAAGGAAGCUGGCUUUCAAGCAUGCCUACACAAUCCCAUUCUCCCUUAAAAUCUGACAAACAUGUAUGUAAAACAGAAGAAGCAUACAAACCCUGAUACUUAAAUGAAUGACUUGGAAAAUGUGUACUGCUGACAUAUCUACUGUAUUGUAGUGUUAUGAAUGCUUUCUGCAUGGCCUCUAUGUGUGUGUGUGUAUUUACACCUCUACCCUCUGGUGCAUUUUCAAAAUCAGGAUUCAACGUUCCCCUCUCCUGUGUGUACCUCUCCUGCUAUCUCCCUUCUUCAAUCUGUACCCGAGGGGGAGCAUGUGAUGUAAGAGGAGCACAGCCAGAAUACUGAUAUGUGUGGUAGAAAACCUUAGUGUGACAACCCAUAAUACCUCUCCCUUAUUUGUAAUAACGAAACAUCUUGGCAGACAGUGACAGCAGAUGAUGAUGAUGCACAAAGCUGAAAUUGCUGUUAAAGUAUAAUGAGAUGCAUAAAGUGUCCCAAGAGUUAUAGAUUAUAAAUGUGUGUUAUCUAUUGCAGUAUGGUGCAGUAACAUUGAGAUAUUUUAUCAUGGGGUUAGGACUCAAAGAAGCAAGUGACUGUUUUUAUAUCAUGUCUAAUAGACUUUGAGUGUUGCAGCAGGCCGAGGGUCACAUCACGGACAUAGAGGCAGUAUAAUACAGAUCACAGGAUUAAUAAAACUGUGCUGUUAUAAGUGAGUUAACUUUGCCAUAAAUUCAACAUUAUCUCUUUUGAAGCCUGUAACCUCAUCCUCACAAACUGGACCUAAAGGUACUAUAAGGAGUUUUUAACUGGUUGUCUGAGCAGUCAUUCACUAGGAUUGAAAAAUUUCACGGUCCAAAUCCACUUUUAAAAACAAAAGUUUACAAAGUGCUUUGACAACAGUUGCAAAGCACAGAACAUCAGUAUAAAAUCAAAUAACCAAAGCUCAGUUAAAAACAAGGCCACCCAAUUAAAGGCCAAUUUCAUUUCACAUAAGAAACCCAGUGUGGUGAGACGCCUCCUCCAUCUUGUUUUAUUUUGGCUGGACUUCCUGUGUUUGCCUGGUUUGGCUUUACUCUUUUUCAGGGCUUCCUCCCCUCCCCCGACGCUGAGGCUGAGUGAGACUACACACCUGCUCCACAUCUCCAAUCAAGGCACUUUAAGAAGCCUGCAGCCCUCAGCCUCAUUGCUGAGUAUUGUCUACCCUUCCUAGCGGUAAAGACGCGUCUCCUGGCCAACCUCGUUUGUAUCAGUAUCAGAACUUUGCUCCUCAUGACUCUUUUCAUGUUCAAUAACUCCCAUCUCCUCUGGUUUUUCCUGCAGUCAGCCUACCGGACAUCCUCGUUUGCAUUUACAACCCUUUUGUUGGACAUUAAAAGUCUCUUUAAGUUGAUCUCAGUUUCAGUGUCUGCUUCUGGGUCCUCACCACGAACCAGCCACACUACACCCAGGCAAUACAAG
rnacentral:lncRNA from 1 species